UACAGAGGGUGCGAGCGUUAAUCGGAAUUACUGGGCGUAAAGCGCGCGUAGGCGGCUUUGCAAGUCGAGUGUGAAAUCCCCAGGCUUAACCUGGGAACUGCAUUCGAGACUGCAUGGCUAGAGUAUGGGUGAGGGAAGUGGAAUUUCAGGUGUAGCGGUGAAAUGCGUAGAUAUCUGAAGGAACAUCAGUGGCGAAAGCGACUUCCUGGACCAAUACUGACGCUCAUGUGCGAAAGCGUGGGGAGCAAACAGG
rnacentral:rRNA from 1 species